CCUACGGGAGGCAGCAGUGAGGAAUAUUGGUCAAUGGGCGUAAGCCUGAACCAGCCAAGUCGCGUGAGGGAUGAAGGUUCUAUGGAUCGUAAACCUCUUUUAUAAGGGAAUAAAGUGCGGGACGUGUCCCGUUUUGUAUGUACCUUAUGAAUAAGGAUCGGCUAACUCCGUGCCAGCAGCCGCGGUAAUACGGAGGAUCCGAGCGUUAUCCGGAUUUAUUGGGUUUAAAGGGUGCGUAGGCGGCCUUUUAAGUCAGCGGUGAAAGUCUGUGGCUCAACCAUAGAAUUGCCGUUGAAACUGGGAGGCUUGAGUAUGUUUGAGGCAGGCGGAAUGCGUGGUGUAGCGGUGAAAUGCGUAGAUAUCACGCAGAACCCCGAUUGCGAAGGCAGCCUGCUAAGCCAUGACUGACGCUGAUGCACGAAAGCGUGGGGAUCAAACAGGAUUAGAUACCCCAGUAGUC
rnacentral:rRNA from 1 species